rnacentral:tRNA from 1 species
GUCUGGAUAGCUCAGUUGGUAGAGCAAAGGACUGAAAAUCCUUGUGUCGGCGGUUCAAGUCCGCCUCUAGACA